UCACUGUAUGGGGCCUCGGAUCACGGGAGAAGCCAGAGUGGGGCUUUCUCCCAUCAAGAGGGGGAAGGGAAGAAAGGGAAAGAAGGGCAGCCCACUUCUCAUGGAACUCACCGCUGUCCUCGGCUGGCGGUGCUCAAGGCUCGUCUUUUUCUCCCAAGGAGCACAAACUCUCCAAUGGAAUUGCAGCAGGUUCAGGCUGGAGGUAGGAGCAGCCUGCAGGCAAGCCGAGGCGAGUGGUCAGAAACGACCAGGUUGAGAGGAAGAAAAAACGGCCUCAAAGCUUUUCCAAAUGCGCACAGCCUCCCUGUCUCCAUUCAAGUAGAGAAACCAAACUGUUCUCCCGUUUGUGAGGAGGGCAGCAGCAAAAACUCCUCCUCCUUCCCUCUAGUCUUAGGAGUCAGAAGUUCUUCUGGGCCUUAUCAUAUACAUCAGGGAUGGGGUUUGUCACUAACAGCUUUACAAAGGUGUUACUUCUCAUCAUCUACAAUGCGUCCCACUGCUGUCACACACCUAACCUCUUCCCGUGAUUACAUGGUUCAUAAACACCUCUUCAGAAGGCUGGAUUUCCCAAAUACAUACACACAAAGUGUGGGUGGUACAGCCAGCUAAGCUGGUGUUUAUGCAGAGGUACAAAAAUGCUCCUCUUUGGUUGACUGAGAAGUCUUUUCAAACAAAAAGCACUCCAGUCUAAGACCUUCAAUCCAGUGAUACAGAAAAAUACUUUUUUAUUUCUUCAGAUAUUGUGGCUUUGAGAACUUCAGCUUUAUCUCCAUGUUCCCAUAUCUGUUUCAGUGCAGGCAAAGUCACUCCUGGUCUUUUUAUCUUGUCUUUGCAUCCUGCUGAGAUAGCAAUGCUGAAGCCAGAAGCUGCUGAAAUGAAAGGUUUUGCUGCCUGUUUUGUCACAGUAAAUGGGUUGUGGAAAGGAAACAUUUGAGGGUGGUGACUCCAAGAAGUCAUCUCAGCAUUAGUUUCUGUUGCAGGAGUGCCAGACAUCUCUUAAAAACAGCUCUCAUAGCCCUUGGAGAUGACAUUCAUGGAAGACAGAUCCAACUUCAACUUCUAUGUGCUUUUCUAGCAGUAAAAAUACUUAUUUUCUGGAAACUUUAGUUUAACUCUUUAGAAUAAGUUUGCAGGGAGAAAAUAACUAACAAACUUUUAAUAUACAACAAAUUGAUCUGGUUAUAGCUAUUUGUUGCUGGUUCCGCUCUUUCAGCUGCACCAGCCAUGGGAAUAAAUCCAAUCUGUUUUGAAAGAGGAACACACUCCUAAUCCUUAGAUGUACAGAAAACCUUUUUAAAUUCAAAGUGUAGCUUGAGAAUUAUUGGAGAGCUCAGGUAGCAAAAAUUAGCGCAGACCUGUGCAAGACGUCUCAUUCCUUAUACCUGAGGAAUGCAAGUGAUGCAACCUUCUUAGCAUUAGAAUUAACUAACACUGACAGCUGAAGCUAAAAUAAAAUUGUCACCUACCACCGAAUAUCUAAGAUCUUUAAACAUGAUGUGUGCUGACUUCUUAAAAGUCAUUUCUAUCUGUUGAGCAUUUUAAAGAAUGGAGUUUCUUCAUAAAGAGGUGGGGGGACAUAUCUAUUUUUCCUCCCCAGUAGCUGCACUGUGACGUCAUUUGCAUGUUAGACAGCUUUGGAGCUACCACAAACUAAUAUUAACUCUCUUUAUAUUGGUGAAAAUAAUAAGAUCAUUCUGAUUUAUACCAGUAGGCUUUUAUUUUGUCCAUUUCUGACACGACUCAGUUUGUAGAUGUGUGUAAGGACCUUAACUUUUAAGGAUUUGCAUGACACAAGCCAUGAAGGCACCCCAGUUAUUGCUGCCAGAAGGGAAGCUUCACCUGGGCAGCGAGCUGUACUCAUACAAGCACUCCACUGCUGUAUCCCAGCCAUUGCCACACAAACUGCAUUGUGCAUGAAAUACAAUAGCAGAAUAUUAUCCCAUGCUAAUAACGGCAACCAGCUGAAGUACUCUCUGCUGUGGGAUGAGAGUGAGCUAAACCAGCUGUGUAGUUAAGGAUAUGAAACCAGGGGGAAAUUGGUACAGAUUGGUGAAACUCCCUCCAAAACCACUGACGAUGUGAAAUAUGGAUUUCCUAAAAUAUGAAAGGAAUGACUUGUUCUCCCAUCAUUAGCGGCUGAAGGCAAAUACUCGUGAUAUUGAAUUAACAAAACUACUACCUUUAUAAUACCAUGGCUGAAGGCUCUUCAGGGAAGACACUGACUCAUAUGACUGCUCUUGCUCAUCCUUUUCAGCCUGAGCAGGAGAAGGACGUGCACAGAGGUAUGACACAUGCUGCUUUGAAUCUCAAGCAACUGGGGGAGGUACCAUUGUUUCAGAUACUAACCUCAGUGUCAGGAACAAACUGAUAUGCUGGUCAAUUCUAGGAUUUUGAAUGUGAAUAUUUACAUUAGUAAAAUAGGCAACCUUAUUUUGCAUUAAUUUUCAAUUUCUCUUCUUAUUUACCCCUUUUCUAAAAAAUGAAAGGUCAAAAGUAGAGAUGAACAGGUAAAUUGGAGGAGGAGAGGAAUUGGAAUUGAUAGCUGAAUCAAAAACUUGGAGGGGAAAAUAAUUGUCUUGCAUCUUCUUUUUCUUUGGUUGGAGUUUUUUUUACUUUAAAGCGAAGGGGGGGAAAAAGCCCAUCAGUUUGAAUUCAAAGAAGGCCUUUUGUAUGAAACAUGCUCUGUGAAGUUUUGGGGUUAUUGCACUACUUUGUGGAUGCAUUUUCACAAUUUAAAAAUGUUAUGCACAGGUGAAAAUACAAAAGGAUCGUUAUUUUUUUUAUUGAGAAAGCAAAACCAAACUGGUUUAGUUCCUUCAAAUCCUUCCCCUAACCUCUUUUGUUUUGACAAAAGCUGUUAUUUAGAUUUGCUCUGGAUUUCUGGGUUGUUUUAGUAGAGAUUUGUGUUUCUGGUCAAUUUUAUUAUAUGUCCAUAUCAAUGCAACCAGUGUGCAGUAAUAAAAAAGACAAAAAUAAGGAUCUAUUUUCAUAACUCUCAGAAGACUUUUCUAAAAACUUGUCUUCCUGCUUUCUAGUUAAUUGAAAUUUCCUUCCCUUGACUCACUACUUUCAAGGGCAAAACCAAAGGGCAUCUUCUGGGCUCAGUUCCCAUAGAGGAAUGUGCAUGUAGUUGCUGCCCACUGCCUGGGAAUGUAUUUUCUAAAGAUCUCUCCUGGUUGUUUUCAAAUAUAUUUGUUAUUUUUUUUUAUUUUGUUUAAUCAACUGUUUUCUCAUUGGUUUUAUUUACACAGUGUAACAUGCAUACAAAUAGCAGUAUAUAAACUAUAACAUGAAAUUACCACAUAGCCAAAUUUCUGCUAAUACAUGCUUACUUUUUCUUCUCCACCCCCCAAAACAUCCCAACAUUAAAGCAAAAUAAAAGAAAAAUACAAACCAA